UACGUAGGGGGCAAGCGUUGUCCGGAAUUAUUGGGCGUAAAGCGCUCGCAGGUGGUUCGUUGCGUCGUGCGUGAAAGACCCCGGCUCAACUGGGGGAUGUCGUGCGAUACGGGCGGACUGGAGGCCAGUAGGGGGAUGCGGAAUUCCGGGUGUAGUGGUGGAAUGCGUAGAGAUCCGGAGGAACACCAGCGGCGAAGGCGGCAUCCUGGACUGGUCCUGACACUCAGGAGCGAAAGCGUGGGGAGCGAGUCCGG
rnacentral:rRNA from 1 species